GGGUGGAGUGAGUCUGUUCAAAACACCUGGUGUCAUUGUUGAGGGCAGCACAGCAGUGACACCUGGAGUGCAUUCAGGACCCAGCAGACACAAACAUGUACAGGGUGGGUACCACAAGAAAAAACAACGUGGAUGUUCCCGAUUAAAAAUGUCUGCGUGGAAGCAACAGCCUGGAAGGUUUUCACGAAUAACUUCCUAACAUGAUUUCAGGUCCUCACUGAUAAGUGGCUUUGCAAGGUGGAAGGAGGAGCUCAGAUGCUGUAUUUGGUGGUAAAGGAUUUACUCUGCAGCACUGAUCAAUUGCCUCAACACUUGCUGUCAGCAGCUGUUUGGAGAACCUGUAGAAGUAAACAUCUGUGGCCCAGCUGAUCUCACAUCCACUGAAUUACUCAGACUGGAGUACUUGUUCAGCCAGAGCAGAGGAGACUCUGUAAUUUUCUCUCUGUAGGACAUCGUCAGUGAUGGACCUGGUUCUGAGGAGGAGGUGGUUCAGCCUGAGCAACCCGAGCCAGAUGAUCCCGGU